ACAGAGACUACGUCAGGCCCUUAACCCACUGAGCCACAAUGAGAACUAGCCAUGCUGGCUCUGCUCUGGAGGUCUUCUAGAAAUAAACCCACAGAUGGCCUAGUGCAAGAGCUGUCCGUAGGAAUCCAGUCUGGCUGACCAACUCAAGCAAAUCUCUCCCAGAGGACUUAAACUAAUACAUGCAGAGACUAUGAUAAAUUGGUAGAAAGAAGAAGCAGGAAGAGAAUCGGAGGUAGUGGAACUGAAGGAGAUUCAUAAAGUUGCCAUGGAAGGCCCAGAAUGUACCAGACAAUUAGUGAUGUUUUGCAAAGUUAACCAUCAGUAAAUAUUGCUUAACUUCUAAGAAA